CUUUUCAGUUGCAAACUCCACUCCAUACAUAUAUAUGGGGAGGUACUAGUUCCAACUCUGAUUGACAAUGAAAACUGCAUGAACUUCAAACCAGCACUAAGAAUCAUACUGAGAAUGCAG